UGGUUCUGGCAUCGAUGAAGAACGCAGCGAAAUGCGAUAAGUAAUGUGAAUUGCAGAAUUCCGUGAAUCAUCGAAUCUUUGAACGCACAUUGCGCCCUUUGGUAUUCCGAAGGGCAUGUCUGUUCGAGCGUCAUUUGCACUCUCAAGCUCAGCUUGGUAUUGGAGGUCGCCCCGGCGGGGUGCCCCCGAAACGCAGCGGCGACGUAGCCGGACUCCCUGGCGUAGUGACAUUACUGUCGCCCCGGAGGCCCGGUCGUGCGUUGGCCGGACAACGCCCAAUUUUCUGAAAUCGACCUCGGAUCAGACAGGACUACCCGCUGA
rnacentral:misc_RNA from 1 species